GACGAUUCUGUUUCUUCAGUUGAUCAAUCAAUAUUUUGAAUAUUUCAAUUAAACAUUUAGAAUUUGAUUUAGCUCAAGGCAGACGUUUGCUUGUUUGAGGAGAAUGUUUCGGCAAAAAGACUCACCUGGAAGACCAGACAGGACGGGCUUGUUUCUUGGGUUUAGCCGCCUGCCUCUGAUACUCCAUCCAGCCACAAACCAAUUCGUGGAUAAUCAUCACGUAGAGCAGGAAGAUGAGAACCCCCGGCUCCAUCCUGGGAUGCUGAGUAUUUGCUGCAUUUGACAGGGAAGGCAUGGAGUGAGGCUGCAGGUACCUGGGAUCUCGCGAUUGCCCUGACUCACAGGCUGAGCUGAGUUACAUCAGAGAGGGAAAGGAGAGAAAUGUUAAUGCUUGGGGGAUAUCUGCCUGAGAAAAUCAUCAGGAGCACCGCCGACUUACACAGAACACACAAACACCAAGCAACACAAUGCCACUGGGAACGCAGGCUGCAGUUACAAUGGAAGCGCUCGAUCUGCAUAAUUCCUUCAAUAAGAACAUAUCAUUCCCACAGGAAGUACUGGAGAAACCGUAUGUUCAAUGUUGUGCACGUUUUCUAACAGUUGAAGUCAGGGAAGAGUUUCCGGGGUACAAAUAAUAAGGCCAGCUGUUUAAAUGUUACCUAUCCCUCUGUAACACUGGAAUGAAGCGUUUAAAUUUCUAGUUGAGGAAAGAACUCUUAGAUGUGUCCGUUCCACAAAUGCAGUGUGUUAUAAACCAUUGUGUUUCUAAUUAAACUUUAACGAUAACCCGCUUCAUAAUUUGUUUUGCUGCAAGGUCUAAUAAAUGAACGUGUCCAUCGACGAAUAUAGACAUGAACGGCGUUUAAUCGAUGGCCGGAACAUAAAAUAUGGGCGGGAAGGCCGGUCUCCAUGGCAACCGGGAGCACAACUGGGCUACAUUUUAAGCUUCAAGACCUCUGUGGGGAUCGGAUUUAAAAUGAGGAGGGGUCAGAAAGGGGCAGCAGACACACAUAAUAGCCCUUAGUCCGCAGGCACUUGGGGGUGAACUCUGUGUCAGAUGGACAUGCAUUCAUCACUGCAGCAUCUGAUCAAGCAGGACCUGCCGGACUUCCAGAAGGCAUUGGACAAAGUUCUACAUCAGAAAUUAAGGUAGAAGACCACAAAAUUGGAGACAAAUUACAGACACAAACGGAGAAAUGGUUUGAAUGGCAGGCGAGGCAGAGUCGGGUUAAUAGGUUACCUCUCAGCCUAGUGGAAAGGAUCGAAGUUUGUCCAACUGCUCCCGAUAGCUGAUACACUCCAAUCCAGUGAAUUGGAUAUAUUCUGCACCAUUGUGGCAAUUGACAGAGGAGCACAGUAUAUGCUGUCAACCUGAUCAAUUUCUCCAGGACUUUCUAAUUUGAUUCAUGAUGCAACUGUCACCCAAGAUAUAGCAGUGAGCCCAAAAAAGCCAAGUUAUCGAUUCUGAGUAAUGUCCAGUGGUUCACCUUCGAAAAAUCCAUAAGUAUGCAGCCAGUCAAAUGUAGGCACAUGCUUGGCUGUGAUGCUGUUGAUGGUUUAAUAGCUUGAGACUUACUUUAUAUAAGCUCAUUCAAAAAAAACAAAAUUGCUAAAUGUACUUAGUUGUUAUUUUUGCCUUGACAUUGAAUCCGCUGAUUCAGUCUGCACAUUGAACUCUUAUCACUGAAUAUUUAAACAUCACUAAUAGAUCUGCUGUUGUC